CCAACCUGCAAGCAGAUAGAAAAUAAGCUAAUCCUAUAGGACAGAAAAAGGAAAAGGGGAGGAGUCAUAAGUGGAUAUAAGCAUAAGACACCUAAGCCAGAAAUGGCAACCCUUCCAGUUCCCCUUCCACUGUGUGGAAGCUUUACUUUCACUUUUGCUUUACUUUGGCUUUAAUAAAUCUUGACCCAGCACUCUCUUUAGGUCUGCAUGCUUCUCAAAUUGAGCUGUAACACUCACUGCUGCGGUCCAAGCCUUCAUUCUUUGAAGCCCGUGGAACCACAAACUCUUCAAUUGAUAAAAACCUUCGAUCGGAAGAGACUUCUCAUCUCAUUUCUGGGGGCCUGUCCGGGAUUUCUCUGAAGUGAAUAGAAUCCAUGAAACUGCAAGUGGUUCUACAAAUGGAGCCCCAAAUGACCACCACUAGCACCUACUAUCGAGGACCCCUAGACUGACCUACCAACCUGUUCUAACACCACGACACUGAAGAAGACUCCCCUCCUGAGGAACCCUCAACUGCAGAUCCCCUUCUGUGCCCCAGUUCAGCAGGAAGUAGCUAGAAUGAUCAUUGCCCAACUUCUCAACAGCACUUGGGCUUUCCUGUUGAGAGGGGGUACUGAGGCACUAAGUGGCUAAGUUAGCUAGACUUCCUGGGUCAACAGGGACUUCCCUAAGGGGACAUUCCUCUAAGCCAAAAUGAGUCAUAGCUGCAAGCUAAGGGAUUGAAACUUCAACCAAUCAAAGGGGACUUUCUCCUAAGCAAAAAUGAGUCACUGCUGCAAACUAAGUGAUUGAAACUUCACCCAAUCAUAUAGGGAGUUUAAGCUUUAGCUGCAGCCUGAUGUUUUUAACCAAUCAGGCCUGCCAACCCACAAGCAGAUAGAAAAUAAGCUAAUCCUAUGGGACAGAAAAAGGAAAAGGGGAGGAGUCAUAAGAGGAUAUAAGCAUAAGACACCCAAGCCAGAAACGGAAACCCUUCCGGGUCUCCUUCCACCACGUGGAAGCUUUACUUUUGCUUUUACUUUACUUUCACUUUAAUAAACCUUGGCGCUGCACACUCUUUGGGUCUGUACGUUUCUCUAAUUGAGCUGUAACACUCGCCGCUGUGGUCCACGGCUUCAUUCCUUGAAGCCUGUGAGACCACGAACCCUUCAAUUGAGAAAAACCUUCAAUCAGAAGAAGACUUCUUGUCUCAAUAUCACUUCCUUCGAAAACAUAAUUCAAGAGUUAUUCACAUCAUAGUUAUUUUUCACUCCCCGCUAAUAGCAGGAGUCACUUCCAAUAUACUAGAAUUUCAAAAAGGAACUGUAACUUAUAGUUUACAGUCAGUGUUUGUUUGAAAUGUAAAGCCUGACCAUUCAACUGCCAUGAUUGAAGCACUCUGAAAGACUUCCAUGGCCUUAGGAUAAAGUUCAUCCUCCUUUACAAGGAGCACAAGACCCUUAGAAUUCCAGACCCUGAUUUAGUCUUCAUCUUAUACGAAUGCUGCCCGGCAUGCUUCAUUUAGUUCUGCAAUAAACAGAGCAUACAGCAUGGUUGUGGAUCUCACUAGAGACCCAAAGAAAACAUCCCACAGGAAAUGAUGAAAAAUAAUAAGAGCAUUAUAUGUAUUGGAGCGUGGACCAGGCAGUUGAAGUGGAAAACACAGGGGAGGGAGCCGUAAAGACUUAAAAAUGAUGUCCAGUUCCCACCUCCCAGACCUAUUGAAUGUGAAUAUC
rnacentral:lncRNA from 1 species